AAUUAGGGUUCGAUUCCGGAGAGGGAGCCUGAGAAACGGCUACCACAUCCAAGGAAGGCAGCAGGCGCGCAAAUUACCCAAUCCCGAUACGGGGAGGUAGUGACAAUAAAUAACAAUACAGGGCUCUUAUGGGUCUUGUAAUUGGAAUGAGUACAAUUUAAAUCCCUUAACGAGGAACAAUUGGAGGGCAAGUCUGGUGCCAGCAGCCGCGGUAAUUCCAGCUCCAAUAGCGUAUAUUAAAGUUGUUGCAGUUAAAAAGCUCGUAGUUGAAUUUCGGGGUUCUACCGUUGGUCGGGCAAUUGUCUGUACUGGCGUGUAGAAUUUCUACCUUCUGGGGAACUAUCAUGUUAUUAAUUUAGCGUGGUAGGAAACCAGGACCUUUACCUUGAAAAAAUUAGAGUGUUCAAAGCAGGCUUACGUCUGAAUACAUUAGCAUGGCAUAAUAAAAUAGGACGGUGGUCCUGUUUCGUAGGUUUCUGAAUCACCGUAAUGAUUAAUAGGGAUAGUUGGGGGCAUUAGUAUUCAAUUGUCAGAGGUGAAAUUCUUGGAUUUAUUGAAGACUAACUUCUGCGAAAGCAUUUGCCAAGGAUGUUUUCAUUAAUCAAGAACGAAAGUUAGGGGAUCGAAGACGAUCAGAUACCGUCGUAGUCUUAACCAUAAACUAUGCCGACUAGGGAUCGGACGAUGUUA
rnacentral:rRNA from 1 species